rnacentral:lncRNA from 1 species
GCGGUUAGGAUUCCUGGUUUUCACCCAGGCGGCCCGGGUUCGACUCCCGGUAUGGGAACUACCCUUUUCUCUUUUGUAAGAUGGAAGUGUCACUUUCGGCGACCAAUUAAUUUAGCUAUUUGUUCCCCUUAAAACACGACAUUACAGACCAAUCGGUUGCUCUGUAGCUAUGGCUUGUCUGAUAUACUCCUCACAAUGUGCCCUCAUCAUUUCCAGAGAACGCUUACAUUAGACCCCGCCCGGUGAGGAGUUAUCCUCAAUUGCUCUCAUCUCACAAGGGUUUGGACAUUCCCGGAAGAUGCAUAAAACCACAGCUUAUAUCUCUCAAUGUUCAAAUUGUAGCGCCGUUAAAGUGAAAUCCUCGGGAGAGACGAAUAAGGGAUUUAACUAAACUUUAUCGACAGUUUUUUUUUUUACAAACGUCAUUUCAUUCGCGCGACGCUCAUUUGACUUCAUCUCGAUUGCCUGUAGGUAGGACACACCUGUGAACGUGUAACGGUUUCUCCAAACGUUACAGACGUCGUUUUCAAGACAGUUUGUUCAGUCCGUGUUCAAAAACAGUCAUUUAUUUCUUAGAGUUACCUGUCUGAGGGGUAGAAAAUGACGUGGAUACUGUAUAUCUAUGUCCCACCGUCUUUCUAGCCUUACACCGUUCGUCAAUGCUUAUUACCCAGCUUUGAAAACCUGUCCCCAAGUCCUGUCGCUUCACCAGUAGGCUACUACGAGGCUGCAGCUAAACUUUUGGUGCCGGGCCAAUCGUUUCUCAGGAAAAUGUGACUGCUAGGAAUUCCCCACGCAUCAGCCCCUGCCGGAGAAAAGGCAACCUUGUGUCAGGAAACACACGAAAGCAGCGGGAGGGUAAACUGGCCGGUGACUCUGCGAUGAUGUAUCCAGGCACAGCUCAACUCACUCCAGGGAUCAUAAUGCUUCUUUGAGGCCGCCUGGUUUCAUGGGCAAAGCUAGCGAACUGCCUGAACAACCCAAGGAAUAUAUAAUACUGAUGACAACUUCUAUUAAGGUUAGUCCUUUGAAUGUUUCUAAAAGUAAAGUUUUUAAUUAUAGCUUUCUUUAUCCUCAUCAGCAUCUGUAGGCAACCAUUGGUUCUCUGUUGAGUCAUACUUUUGAAAUGUUCUCAUGUUGUACCCUUUGUUGUGAAAUAGGCCUAUUUCUGACUUUUAACAAAACACUACAUCUACAUAGCUCAUUUUCGACAUCAGAACAAGUUUCCUUUUAUGCACAAUGCCUAAACUCCACAAAGUUAUUAAACAACAAAGAAGCGUGACUGAACUCAUGAUACAAGCCAGUAUAGGAGACAUGACCUGCAGCUCUGUUUUGCUCACUGCUCCACAGAUUUCUGUGACUCCCCUUUGUGUCAGUCUGCCAGCAUGUGACUGCACUGAUAGCAUGUGUGAGGCCGGGUGUGAGAGAGUGUGCUAGUGCUUAGUUGUAUUUACUACAAUCAUUAGGGUUGUCACAUUCAGAGGGUUGAUUUUAUCUAGUUUGAGUUUACUCUUGAUCAUUUAGGUUGUCAGGUGUGGCCUUGUUACAAGAACAUGGAAAAAAGCCGGUGUACUUUAUUUAUAACUUUCAUUCGGGUCUAGUUAAAGUUAAACAUGAAUACUGAUCUGCAUUAGACUUUGGUUUAUUGGCGUAGGGCUCAAACUUAUGAAGCAACAGAACAAUAAAAAACUGUUUUGAUAAUAAAUAUGGCAACUUAAGAAUUAAAACAUCCUCAGCAAUCUCGGUAUGCCUGUGUGACACACAAUUACUAAAACAGUGAAGACUAAAGUAGCCAUUGAUAAUCUAAUGGGUUAUACAGUCACUUAACUCCAUUAUAGAGGAUUCUUGCUUGUUUUGGAUAAGCCGAGUUAUUAAUACAUUUCACAGCAUGUGUUUCUUUGUCUAAUUUUAAUCUACAAGAUCAAUCCUAUUCUACAAGCAGUCAAAUGUUUGCCAGAUGUUUACAUUUCUGGGUGAAGAUGCUUUUACCAUGAGACAUACAAACACAUUCUCAUUGGUCCACUGGAUUUGCUCUCUUCAGAGAGGGAAGUUAUGACGCAGAGGGGAAAAGGGGAGAGUUACGAGCUUUAAGCAUUUCAGUCCCACUGGAGACAAGACCAGCUGGACCCACCAACCCUUCACCCUCCUCCCGCCUGGUCUCUCCUCCCCUACAGUCUUCCUUAUGGUGGGAACACUGGCAAAGGCUUGUGGAUAAUUGGAAACUUCAAUCCACUGAAAGCAAUUAUCCAGAACAAGACUUUCCAAAUAUACUCCAGAGUGGAGUCAUCUUGUUUGUCUCUAGCAUGUGCCCUCGUUUUAGAAACACUCAGCUCACACGUCCAGCCUUUCUUUAUCCCCCUCUCCUGCUUACUUUGAUAACAGUAAUGCUACACAUGCUCCUUGACUGAUCCAGUUCGUUUGCAGUUGAAGACUGUGUGGUUGAGACUUAAUCAUUUCCCAGUAUAGCUUUCUCCUCCUGCAACAUUACUGUCACCAGCAGUCUCAGCAGCUGAGGAGUGCAGUGUUGAGGAAGAACAACAAUGCGCUCUCUCCCUGCAUCGACAAGGAGCUCCUCAGACAUCAGACACUUCUUCUUAGUCUUGCCCAAGAUGUACCCGCCUGCCUUAAUGGGCUGCUGGAUAUUGAUUUGGCUACACAAAAAGAAGAUCUGAGCUUUUAUCUAUUUAGAAAGCAGCACUCCAGUUUCACUAAAGCUUUCAGUGCGGCCUUCCAAGAGACGGGAACCCAGCUGCUUUUUUCCCCCCUUUUUACAAGUUGGCAAAUAAUAAUUUAAAACCUCUUUGCAACAGUGUCCAGAGACUAUAAGAAUCGAGGAACUAAAAAGACAAUCUUUUAAACAAAGCUUUGAUAUUCAUGUUGCUCUCAAUCCUUUUAGAAUAAAAAAUAUAUAAGCUGACCAAAUAAAAUUUAACCGAGGCUCCUAUGUACCUUUCUUGGUGUAAAUUACUGUCAUUAGAACCUUUGAAAUAACCACAAGAUGGCAAUGUUCAUAUACUUUGAAUAAACAAACAAUCAUGUGAGAUGGCUGAAACCUCAAAUGACUCACAGAAAGGUAGGAAGCGACUUGUGAAAAGAGAAACAAAACUGUUGAACUUCCCCUUUUCUCGACCCUGCGUUAUUCUGUUGCGGGUUCCUCAGGAGGGAACUGCUGUUUUGCAAAGUUCCUCUAAUUGUAUACUAACCUGGGUUUUGACACCUGAAUAUCACCUUGUCAGACAUGUUUGAUUCUAGGCGGCAGCAUUAUCAGCAGUGAAACUGCUGCCGUUGGACUUGACGUCAGACAGAAAGGAGAGACGAGGGAAAUUCCACCUGUAACCUCAUUCUGCACUUAUGCUGCCUCACCAGCAUGUGACUCAGACGAGUCAUCAGGUCCCAGUUUCUCCAUGCAUUGAGUAUGAUGUAAUGAAGGACUACAAUCUGUCUAUUUUUAGCAUGUGAAACAGGACAAGUUGACUUUGUGUAGUUGUGUUUGAGAAGGCCAGACUUCAGUGGGUCAUAAACUUAUAAAAACCCAAAACUAAAUGUGGUCUAAUUAGGGAAAAACUUUCAACUGAAGACAGGUGUUUGCAAAGAUUUUGUGAUCAUAUUCAAGUGAAAAAUUGUAUCUCAAAUAGCUAGAUGGUUUUGAAGUAAAGCCAUCAUCUUUCACCCUGUUUGGAUAAUACUACAAAAAUAUUUUUGAUAUUGUUCCUAUAACUGGAGCCGGUCCUUCAUAGCAGGAUUUUUGGUCAUCAAGGUAACUCCAUGUUAAAUUCUGUAAUUUCAGCACCGGAGAGCUGUGAAAGCUGCAAACCUAUUCUUGUCUUCAAGCACUGCUAAGCUAACUGGCUGCUAGAAAGCUGAAAAAGCAGGCUAAGUGAGGAAAAUGUUAUGAAACCUGAUCCUGAGCCUGAAAAUAUAACUUUGUCUGCAAGGGAACUAUUGAAGGAUGAAUCAGAGUACCCACUCUGGCAGCAUGUUGACAUCAUGAGAUUAGUUAACCGCAUUACUGAGAUAUUUUUAUGAUGCCUGCUGAGGUCCAUGUAAGCACACGGUGUAGUAAGCUGUAUCACUGAUGUAAGUAUAACUACAUUAAGGAGUGAUGGCCGGGGUUGUAAUGUUCUAGCUUACUUAAAUUCGACCACACAGAGCAGUUCUUCACAAAAAUAGAGACUCGCUGCGCCUGCAACUUUGGCUCGUAAUGAUAUUUCAGCCUGUCAUUUUUCAUGUCUCUUCCAGCUAAUGAGCUAGUAGUGAGAGGUUCACAGAGGCCUUUCAUGAGUCAGCUCUGCCUCUGGUGCUUGGAUUCAAGCAGUGAGCUUAGCCCUGAGAAACUCUAAAGAUCUUUCCCCCCGUUCAACUUUGAGAAAACUCUCUGAACAAGUGUGACUAGUGUACAUCAAGUGAAGACAGAGGAGGUCGGAUUUGCAGGCACUCUUAACAGCUCGCCACAUCUGUCGUCUGUCCUCACUUGCGGUAAAUUUUGGCGUUUGAUUGUUUUGGGUUAAUUUCAGAGUGACGAGCUGUCCACAAGCUUGUUGAAUUAUUUAACUGCAUGCAGCCAAUGGGUAUUAUAAUCUAGGCUCUGACUGACAGAGCAAUAUGCUCCUAGGGCCUCAUGGCAUUUUAUUAAUAAUGAGCUUGAGAUAAACUUGAGCUCUUGGGCUGCAGCACACCGGCAGAGGCCUGCUCUUUGGCCUGAAUGACUGCGUAUGAUACUGAUGGACUUUUUAUAACCUCAGAUUGUUAAUGAUCACUUCUUUGUAGAAGAAACAAAAGUUGUGUGGUGUGCGACGUGACAUAGUUAUGAAUGAUUUCUGCUGGUUUCUGAAUGCAUGCAUGCAGUGCUCUCAGCCUGGAGGAUCAGGAUUGUUAGCCUGCUCCCAGUAAUUGAUAAUUAAUGAGCUGAAGCUUGCACGUGUGUCGACUGUAGGUCUAAUGCUAUACCCCAUAAAGCAAGCUAUUUGUUUUAUUUUUCAGAGCUUCUUUAUUAUAUUGCACCAUGAGCUGAUAAGAGAUGUUAUCAUGCAGUAUGCAAACAGGAACAAUGUAUAGGGAGCAGGGUAAUUAUUCAAAUUAGGAUCCCGGAGGUCCUUUACCACUUCUGAGUCAGAGGAUUCUCAUCAGCUCUCUUAUUGUACAAAUUAAAAUUAAACUGAAGGAAACAGAUGCUAUUUAGUUACAAACUGAACUCUCCCAUUGAAGAUAAAGAUAGACAAAGUGAACAGGACCUCAGCACGUAUCUAUGAUGACAUUUCUGUCAUGAUUCAGCUCUCCUGCUUCUCGGUGCUUUGCUCUUGACACACCUUUAUCUUAAAUGUGGCAAAUGUCACAACUAUUAUUGCUGUACUUUUAUCACUCUUGAUUGCAUCAUUGUAUUUUGAUCAAAUGCUGAUCUAGGCAAAGAUUUUGCAAGACUCUUUCCUUGCUCUUUCUUGUGUCCGCGAAUUUCUCAUCAAAUAUCACCAACAAAAACGUGCGGCCCGCUCAUCAAACUGUUCAAAAGUUCUCAUGAAUCACUCACUGUCUGAUGAACUGUGGCUCUGAACGCAUUGUCUUAACAGCAGUACACCCACACAACUCCGCACUGGGCCAGUCUACAGUCAUCCUCAGUCAGCACAGUGAUUCAUGUUGAGUCCUGGUGCAGCUCUGGAUGGUCACUGUCCGAGAAUGAGGACGUUUUCGUAGCACAGUGAGCUGUUAGCGCGUUGAAUCAACCAGUCUGGCUGCAACCGACUGGCCUAAACCUAAACAACUCUUAUACAUGUCUGCUUUUCCUACAACCAGACAUGAUGGAUGUUAUUGUUGUGUUUUUUCCUGUAAUAAUCCCUGGUACGUACCUCAGGUGUGUUAAUUAUGUAUCUCUGCCCUCUUUGUUUAACUUACUCUUUGUCUCUCGUGUGCUGCACUUCUGUCCUGUUCACUGGCCUCUGACAGUGUCAUCUAAAAGCGUCCCUGUUCUGUAUUUGAGCAGCGAGAGCAGCCAUCAGAUGACCUCCAAGCUACACAAAUAAUUCUGUGUGUCCUUCCAAGGCUCCCUUAGCGUUUUCUGUCAAGGAUUGUGUCAGAAUGUAUGUCAGGUUUUCACGAGUCCACCAACAUAACUAUUUACUGAAUGAUCAGAAUUUCCUGAGUGCUGCUUUUAGUGGAGGGUUUGUCAGGUGCAAAUUUGACGGGCAUGCCAUGAUAAAUGUGUAUUAUAAAUCAAGUCAAAGUGGGAAAAAUGAAAUAAAAUACAAAACACAUUUAGCUCUAUUUGGAGCUCCAUUUACCACUCUUUGAGUCGCAGAUAAGAAUCGAGGCCUAUUAUUUUUUGUCAUAGAAAUAUUUGUAAUUACCUGAAUAUACAGUCAGAUUAAGAAGCUUUCUUGUAAAUAGAUAGUAGUGUAAUGGCAGCUCAGAAUAACAUCAGAUGACUGAUGUUAGCACUUUCUGUAGUGGUUGACCCCUGUACUGGAGAAUAAGCCCUACAGGAAAAUAAACGACCCUCCAUUUCAUUCUUAAGCACUGAAGUACCAUUGUCAUCUCUGCUUCAAAGGUACAUAAUGAAAUAAACCACCAAAGCAGGAUUAUAAUCAACUGUACAAAACUGUCUUUUUAUGUUUUCUAUCUUCAGAUUGAGAUCUCGAUCUAAAAGUCAUGAUACGCAAGCAACCAAAGCUUCACUUUUUAUUCCUUUUUCUUUGUUGCAGAGAGAGGAUGUAACUUGUUGAGCAAAUGUGUGUGAGUUUGUGUUACAGAACUUAGAUGGAACGAUUGCAAAUUCUCAGGAAACUCUUUAGUGUGAACUCUCAAACCCACAAAAAAAUAUAAUUUCAUUGAUGGUGUGGCUUCACAGUUUCGUGUAAAUUGAGCCCAUUUACUUUCCCCUACAAAUACUGUGACUAAAGAUGUGUGUCUGGUGUAACUAACUGACAUUUUCCGCUACUUUCAUUUAUGAAACUUAGGAGUAGUGUUUUGUUUUUUUUAAUGAUCCAAGGACUGUUUUUUUCCUCAAUAUGAACUCUGUCUGUUUGGCAUCUUUUGUGUGUUUGUUCACCCAGAAGAGGAGACAUGUUUUCCCUUGCCUUACUGAAGAAAAUUUGCUAAUUUACUCCAUAAAAUUGACUUAAAGCUCCUGUAUGGAAAUUUGAAUUGAAAAACUGAAACUAAUAGCAUUGACUUUUUAUGACCCUAAGAGCAAAGGGACCCAUCUGCAACCAGAUAGUUGAUUUUUAAUGCUUUAAACGGCAGUGAAGGAUUAGGUGUCAGACCAGAUGAUUGACAGCACUUAUUCACAGUCAGUGAUAUAGUUGACUGUUAAAAGAGGAUUUUAAGUGAUUUUUCAAUAGACAAUUCCCACCUUUGCAAAGAUGAACAUCUUUGGUAGCUGAAGGGCGCCAAAAUCAACACUACCAAAAGUCCCCUACUGCAGCUUUAACUUC